rnacentral:tRNA from 1 species
GGCUGGAUCACCUCCUAACAGGGAGACAAACCUAAUCAUGAUGUCUGAGUUUUUUAGUCUUAGGCCAUGAUUCUGUCACCUUAGGUCGAUCGGUACCUCAAGGAACAAGCCAGGGAGACUGAGCAAUCAGAGGAGCCUGGCGAGUUUUUUCAGUUCUUAAACGUUGUCUAGGUCACCCCAUGGCUCCUGGGCCAUUAGCUCAGGUGGUUAGAGCGCACCCCUGAUAAGGGUGAGGUCCCUGGUUCAAGUCCAGGAUGGCCCAUGCACAGCCUGGUGAGCAGGCAGGACUUGAAAGCUGGGGGUUUAGCUCAGUUAGUAGAGCGCCUGCUUUGCAAGCAGGAUGUGAGCGGUUCGAGUCCGCUAACCUCCAUCGCAACGCAAGAGCCCACAAGCGCAAGCGCCAGAAGCGCAAGCGGAGGAGGUAGGGAGUGACCGAGACGGGGAGCAAGACGGGAACGAGAGGAGCUGAGGACGAUUCCAGCCUUCAGGAUUCAAGCGAUCAACUGCCAAAGAAGCAGGAAAGCGUUUGAGUGUUGAAUGCUGGACUCACACCCACCGAGAGCUGUUGAAACGGUGAUGGGUGGGUGAUUGGUUCAGCGUCGAACCUUGACAACUGCAUAGGUGAGUCUGGAAAGAAAGCAUCUCAUGGAUGACCAGUGAAAACUGGAAAUUCUAUGACGUAAAGAGCCGAGGCUUUCCAGCGUUCUUCCAAAGCUUUGGCCAAUCCAGCCAAAGGGAGGGAGUUUGAUUUUGCGAUUCAAACCGUGAUGAUGCUGUGAUGAGCAGUGUGAUCAGCA